rnacentral:ncRNA from 2 species
ACAACCGAACAGUCCCCUGGCGGGGGAAGCCGGUGCGAAUCCGGCGCUGACCCGCAACCGUGAGUGGCCGCGCGCCACGAGUCGGAAUGCCCGCCCGGGAACACGAACAACC